rnacentral:rRNA from 1 species
GACGAACGCUGGCGGCGCGCCUAACACAUGCAAGUCGAACGGAGCUUAGAGAGCUUGCUUUUUAAGCUUAGUGGCGAACGGGUGAGUAACGCGUGAGUAACCUGCCCUAGAGUGGGGGACAACAGUUGGAAACGACUGCUAAUACCGCAUAAGCCCACGGUACCGCAUGGCACUGAGGGAAAAGGAUUUAUUCGCUUUAGGAUGGACUCGCGUCCAAUUAGCUAGUUGGUGAGGUAACGGCCCACCAAGGCGACGAUUGGUAGCCGGACUGAGAGGUUGAACGGCCACAUUGGGACUGAGACACGGCCCAGACUCCUACGGGAGGCAGCAGUGGGGGAGUAUUGCACAAUGGGGGAAACCCUGAUGCAGCGACGCCGCGUGGAGGAAGAAGGUUUUCGGAUUGUAAACUCCUGUCGUUAGGGACGAUAAUGACGGUACCUAACAAGAAAGCACCGGCUAACUACGUG